UACGUAGGGUGCGAGCGUUGUCCGGAAUUAUUGGGCGUAAAGGGCUCGUAGGCGGUUUGUCGCGUCGGGAGUGAAACCAGGUGCUUAACACCUGGCUUGCUUUCGAUACGGGCAGACUAGAGGUAUUCAGGGGAGAACGGAAUUCCUGGUGUAGCGGUGAAAUGACGCAGAUAUCAGGAGGAACACCGAUGGCGAAGGCAGGUCUCCUGGGCACUACUGACGCUGAGAAGCGAAAGCAUGGGGAGCGAACAGG
rnacentral:rRNA from 1 species